rnacentral:rRNA from 1 species
AACGGGAAGGUAGGUGGUUUCCACGUGGGCGAACGGGUGAGUAACGCGUAAGAAACCCUAGCCCUUCGGAGGGGGAACGAACGAAACUGGAAACGGUUAGGCUAAUACCCCGUACGGCUGAGGAGGCAAAGGAGAAAUACGCCCAACGAGGGGCGUCGCGUCUGAUUAGCUAGUUGGUGAGGUAAUAAGCUUACCAAGGCGAUGAUCAGUAGCUGGUCCGAGAGGAUGAUCAGCCACACUGGGACGUGAGACACGGCCCAGACUCCUACGGGAGGCAGCAGUGGGGAAUUUUCCGCAAUGGGCGAAAGCCUGACGGAGCAAUGCCGCGUGGGGGUGGAAGGCCUACGGGUCGUCAACUUCUUUUCUCGGAGAAGAAACAAUGACGGUAUCUGAGGAAUAAGCAUCGGCUAACUCUGUG